GGCCCCGCACAAGCGGUGGAGCAUGUGGUUUAAUUCGAUGAUACGCGAGGAACCUUACCAGGGCUUAAAUGUAGUGGGACAGGUCUAGAGAUAGACCCUUCUUCGGACUCAUUACAAGGUGCUGCAUGGUUGUCGUCAGCUCGUGCCGUGAGGUGUCAGGUUAAGUCCUAUAACGAGCGCAACCCCUAUCGUUAGUUGCCAGCGGGUCAUGCCGGGAACUCUAGCGAAACUGCCGGUGCAAACCGAGAGGAAGGUGGGGAUGACGUCAAAUCAGUCACGGCCCUUACGUCCUGGCUACACACGUGCUACAAUGGCCGGUACAGAGAGCAGCCACUACGCGAGUAGGAG
rnacentral:rRNA from 1 species